rnacentral:rRNA from 1 species
AAGUAAUGUGAAUUGCAGAAUUCAGUGAAUCAUCGAAUCUUUGAACGCACAUUGCGCCCUCUGGUAUUCCGGAGGGCAUGCCUGUUCGAGCGUCAUUUCAACCCUCAAGCCUGGCUUGGUGAUGGGGCACUGCUUUCGUCCAGAAAGCAGGCCCUGA